CGCAGCGAUGUUGAAAUUUACCUUGAAAGGGUUUCGGUGUGUCGUGUUGAGGUUGUGCAGUGGCACUGCUCGUCAUUCCUAUAGCAUUCCUUUGAAUUGCUGAGCACGUUCGCAUCAAUUCUCUCUUUUAGCUGAGUCAAGCUAUUAUUUGGGGUUAAGGUGUGGCUUUCGGAAAAAGGCGAUUUACAAAUGCCAUACUAGUGCUUAAAUGAUGUCUAAAGGUGGUUCAUAGUUCAUGUUUGGAUUUGAUGCGCGUGUCAUCGGUGGGAUGGGAUGAGACAUUUAAAUCCAGGAAGCGAUAGAUUACACAACGGAACAUCUAACGUUAAUCGCCCUGAAAAUGUUAGAAAUCGUAACUGGAUGACGGGUUUAACCUCCGUUGUAACUUUAAGCAAGUCCGAGGACUUUGUAACCGAAUUGCAUCUGUUAGAUUUCAUUGGAAGAGAUCUCGACGUGGUCUGGGAAAGCGCACAGUUCAGAGUUGAGCAGUAACGUUACAGGGCGUGAGCCGUCUUUUAUUAGACAGUCUGUGGGACUGUGAGGGAGGAACUCGCCGAUCAAAUAAAUGAUGAUGUUAGAUGAUAUCUGGAAGUGUCAUGCGAGUCGAUCCCGAAGACAGCAAGCGAGAAUUCUACCAGUUGAAGCAGUCUUAACAUCUGGAGAGAAGACCUCGGUAUGUCAUUGAAGGGAUUUCGUCUUUGGUCUUCUUGCUGCUGAAGGUCCAACCACGCCCAAUUCCUUCUGUGGAACAGACUCGGAGGAGCCUCUUGGCUGACCUGCAGCAGUUCUUCACUGGCAAGCUUUAUGUCGUUGUGUACCAGCUAAAGCUGCCAGCUGAAGAACUGUUGUGGUUAGCUCUUUCCUGGCACAUCCGGGGUGGCAAUCCAGAGGUAAAGGCAUUGUGAGUUAAAGCCGAAUCCUUCCGGAGAGAUAAGGCCUUCUCCAUCAAUCCUGGAUCAGAUGGAUUGCAUCUUGGAUUGAUUUAGCUUUUCUCUCCAGCAACCUUCCCCCAAGCUCACGUGAGCCGUCUAAGCUUGACUAUUCGUUCUUCUCUGGCAUAAACAAAGAAUACUGAGCAGGCUCCGUGCUGACUCAGCCACAUUCCUUGCCCGGUGAGGUCCCCUUGCCCUUAUUUGGGUGUGGAGCAGGCAGGGAGUGGCAUUGUGAACUGAAUAAGGUGGCCAUCUUGCAUUGCUGCCGGAGCACAAGGAGUUUUCAAGUCUGAUGCGUUACUGAAAAAGACACAAGUUUGAACAACAAUUCAAACAACAGUUGAGUGUUCUUAUAGAUGUUUCUAUGUAUUCUGGAGGCUUGCCCAGGCUUUGUUGUGUUUGUCUUAGUCUCAAAGUUCCUCCGGGGAAUGACUAAUGAAAGCCUGCAGUGCGUAUGUAACUUCCUUUUCCCUUUUGAGGCUUUUUGUGGCAUAAAUAUGAUUUUCAGUUUGUUUGAACAAAGUGUACGAAUUUAACCUUGCUCAGACUUUGUGUACGCACAUACAGGCCUCCAUAUAUACACACGCUCUUCACAUCAGUCGACCCUAGGCAAGCCGUAAACUCUACCUCGAGGCCAUCCUCAGUGCUGAAAACAGGAUAUGAAAACCGUGCUUUCUAAAUGCUCCCAGCCAGAUGAAAACGAUAGAAUAUUCUUGCAGUUUAGCAGAACCAGAUGCUUUGUGCAGGAAACGUGGUUCGCCUUUUUCUUCCUCCAUCAGGAAUUCAUCGAAUUCUUUUUCUUUUUUUUACUUGGAUAAAAUGUUAAACACAUGUUACUUACGUAUGGCUCUGACCUCCACACAAGGGCUUCUUCAGGUCAUAGCAGAAGAUUGUCUACCUGAUCCGCUCUAGUCUAAUGUCAAUCUCCCCACAAGUGCAUUAAAAGAUUGUUGAGGGUCGUCGUCUCAGCUCCUCUUAAGCUUAGCCAGUCUGCAUUGAAGGUGCACUUAGGCUAUAGAUUUUAUUUUAUUAUCAGAAUCUUGCACUCUAAACCCUUGCCAUGCUUUUCUGCUUCUCAUGCAGGACACAGAUCUCGGUGUUUAUCAAAAUGUGAUGAAGGAUGUUAUUCUGCUUUAACAAAAAAUAAAGUGGCGUUGGGAAAUUUGAA